CUGUUUUCUCCUUUUUGUUGUUAUUAUCACCAAUUAUCUCUUUAUACAUUGCAUAUCCAUUAACACACAUAACUAUUGUUUUGUGCAUUGUCUUUUAAAUUGAAUAGGGGAAAAAGAGGAGUUAGAAACCAAAAACUGCAAUAUUGGACUUUAUCUAUGUAACUAUUUUUUCACUGGUCUCUACUUCUUUAUAUGGCUUGGAGAUACUUCCUAGUUUCCUUUCAUUUCAACAUGUAGGACUCCUUUUAGCAUUUCUUCUAGAGCAGAUCUACUAGCAUUUUUUGUAGAUUAAAACUACUAGACAACUCCUUCAGUUUUUGUUUAUCUGGGAAUGUCUUAAUUCCUCUUUUCAUGAAUAUAUAAUUCUUUAUUUUUAAAAAAUUUUAAUUAAAAAAAAGUAGAAACAGGGUCUUGCCAUGUUGUUCCUGGGCUCAAAUGAUCUGCCUACCUUGGCCUCCCAAAGUGCUGGGAUUACAGGUGUGAGCUACUGUGCCUGGCUGGAUAUAGAACUCUUAGUUAACAGUUUUUUUCUUUCAGCAGUUCAGAUAUGUCAUCUCUCUGCUUCUUGGCCUUCAUAUUUUCUGAAAAGAAAUCAGCUAGUAAUCUUACUGAGAAUCCCUUGUAUGUGAAGAGUCAUUUCUCUCUUGCUGCUUUCAAGAUUCCUUCCUUGUCAUUGGACACUUCAAUUAUAAUGCGUCUCAUUGUGGAUCUCUUUGAAUUUAUCCUGCAUGGAGUUUGUUGAGCUUCUUGGAUGUAUAAUUUCAUCAUAUUUUGGAAGUUUUCAGCCAUUACUUUUUCAAAUAUAUAUAUUUUUGAGACAGAGUUUCACUCUUGUUGCCCAAGCUGUAGUGCAGUGGCGUGAUCUCAGCUUACUGCAACCUCCACCUCCCUGGUCAAGCAAUUCUCCUGACUCAACCUUCCGAGUAGCAGGGAUUACCAGUGCCCGCCGCCAUGACCGGCUAAUUUUUUGUAUUUUUAGUAGAGACAGGGUUUCACCAUGUUGGCCAGGCUGGUCUCUAACUCCUGAUCUCAGGUGGUCCACCUGCCUCGGCACCCAAAGUAUUGGGAUUACAGGCUUGAGCCACUGCGCCCGGCUGCUUCAAACAUUCUUUCUGCAUUUUCCUCCUUUCUUUCUGGAAUUCUUAUUAUGUCUGUUUGAUAGUGUCUUGUGGAUUUCUUAGGCUCAGUUCAUUGUUGGUCAUUCUUUUUUUUUUUUUUUUGAGACGGAGUUUCAUUGUUGUUGUCCAGGCUAGAGUGCAAUGGCGUGGUCUUGGCUCACUGCAACCUCUGCCUCCCGGGUUCAACUGAUUCUCCUGCCUCAGCCUCCCAAGUAGCUAGGAUUACAGGCGCCUGCCACCACACCCAGCUAAUUUUUGUAUUUUUAGUAGAGAUGGGGUUUCACCUGUGUUAGCCAGGAUGGUCUCAAUCUCCUGACCUCGUGAUCUGCCCGCCUUGGCCUCCCAAAGUGCUGGGAUUACAGGCGAGAGCCAUGAGCCUGGCCUGAAAUGUGUUUUUUAAAAAGGAGUGAAGGGGACCCUGGAUGGUUGAUGAUAUAAUACUACUGACUGAAGAAUCUGAUUGAUUUUCCAAUUCUUUGUAUAUAAUUUCUAGAAAACAAAAAUAAAAUAAAGGUAAUAACUAGUAGAGCAGAAGUUGAAAAAUAAAACUUUCAACAGACACAUGGGGAAAGUGGGUAAAGAGAGAGAUGUACAAUAAAGUACAUUUCUUUGAUUUAGUACUGUUUCUUCCUCUGCCUUGAUUCUUUAUUAAAGUUUAAAUAGCAUCAUACGCUAUAAUUUCAGAAAACACUCAAGUUACUGGUUCACUUUCAAAGGAGAGAUUAUGUGCUUUUACUUUAGUUGUACCAAUUUUCAGCUCCUUUAGGAAUGGAGCCAUCAUCCUGGAGUGUUAAAAUGGGCAACAAGAAAGAUAAACUCAUUUUAGCUGUUCUUUUCUAAAGGUAUCCUCCAACCCCUCCUCCAACAUCGAUCCAGACAACUAUGUUGAAAUGAAUGAUUCAAUCACCCACCUACCCUCUAAAGUGGUGAUACAAGAUAUUACUAUGGAGCUACACUGCCCACUGUGCAAUGAUUGGUUCCGAGACCCACUGAUGCUAAGCUGUGGCCACAACUUCUGUCAAGCCUGUAUCCAAGACUUUUGGAGGCUGCAAGCAAAGGAAACAUUCUGUCCUGAGUGUAAGAUGCUAUGUCAGUAUAGCAACUGUACAUUCAACCUUGUACUGGACAAGUUGGUAGAGAAGAUUAAGAAGUUACCCUUACUCAAGGGCCAUCCACAGUGCCCAGAGCAUGGAGAGAACCUGAAACUGUUCAGUAAACCAGAUGGGAAACUGAUCUGCUUUCAAUGCAAGGAUGCUCGGUUGUCUGUGGGGCAGUCUAAGGAGUUCCUGCAAAUCUCUGAUGCUGUCCGUUUCUUCAUGGAGGAGCUUGCCAUCCAACAGGGUCAACUGGAGACAACUCUGAAGGAGCUUCAGUCCCUGAGGAACAUGCAGAAGGAAGCUAUUGCUGCUCACAAGGUGAGGAGCAAGAAAGAAGGGUUAUGAGAUAGAACUGGAACACACCCUCCAUGUAACUUCAGCUAUGGGUACAAAGGUGCCUAACAUAUAUUAUCAACACACUAAAUGGUACCUAGGCUAUAGAAUUGGAAAACUGAGUCUGUAGGGUGGAAAGGAAUAUGGUGGUGGAGUAGGUUCCUAAUAGCUGAUCAACAGAGCAGAUUAACCUUUCCCCUAAUAUGCUGAUCUUUUUGAUGGUUCAGUCACCAGGUGACUGUCGUGGGGUUGAAAUGUGUCUGGUCUUUGGCUUUAUCUAUGGCAAAAAAAAAAGGAACUUAUCAGAAAAAAAAUCAAUCACUAAAGAUUGCUAUGUCCAAAGAAAUACCUUUAUUUCCUUUGAGUUUAUAACCAGACACCUCUGGACUAGGUCUCUAAGGUCAUAGGCUUUUCCCAGCUGAUUUGAUCUUUCUUAGCUUCCUCCAAACUAAAUAAAGCUAUUGUCUGCACUUUUAACUUCAUAGGCACUCUAGGACAACAUUAAUAGCUAGAGAUGUGGCAAACCAGUCCCUAGGUUGGGGUUGCUAAAUUGGAAGUUCUGUUUCUUUAUUCAUUAUUCUAUGGAGAAGAGCUUUCUCAGGUAUUUGGCAUCUGGAAGAAAAAAAUAUGCAGACUCAGGGAAAGAAGAAGGAUAUAGGAAGUAAUGAUGUCUUCAGAAAAUCUUGUUCCUGUUGUAAAAGUUCCUAUUAGUGUGAGCAUUCAUUCAUUCAUUUAACAAAUAUUUAUUGAGUGGGUCAGGCAUAAUACUAGAUAUUGGGGAUGGGAGACAGCUGUUAAUUAAAUAAUCCCACCAGUAAUAAUAAAAUAACAACUGUGAUAAGUACUAUAAAUGAAAGUAUAGGGUAUGAUGAUAGCAUAUAAAUGGAGAACAUAAUCUAGACUGGGGGAGGGGUGUUCUCUGAAGAAGUCACUUAUUAAAAAUUGAGAAUUGAAGGAUAAGUAACUUAUCCAAGUGAACUGGGUGAAUGGGGAUAUGAAGGAGGUAGCCUGGAGAAGAAUGUUCUAGGAAUAGAAAAGAGUAUAUGGAAAAGUCCUGAGAUGGAAAGUUAGCUGCUAUGUUAAACAGAGAAAAGGCCAAUAAAGCUGGAACAUGCUAAGCAAGAUGAUAUUGAUGAGGUGGAUAUGGGCUCCCUGUAACCUCAUACUCUUGGGCUCAAGAGAUCUUCCCACCUCAGCCUCCUGAGUAUCUGGGACUAGUUUGCCACACCUGGCUAAUUAUUUUAUUUUUGGAGAGACUGGGUCUCACUAUGUUGCCCAGUCUUGAACUCCUGUUCCAAGCAAUCCUCCCAGCUUGUCCUCCAUAAGUGUUGGAAUUACAGGUAUGAGCCACUGUGCCCAGCCAAGACUAUCUUAAGGGUGUAAUAAUAAUUAUGGACCAUGGGAUCCAAGCUAGAUAAGAGAGGACACGAAGGUAGAAGUUCCUGAAUAGAAAUGGAGGGAUCGGUGAAUAGGAGGUUUCAAGGAGAUCCAAUAAUUGUUGCAAUAGGAGUAUCUGAGUGAGCCUGGUGCAUAAAAAGUUAUUUUGGAGAUGAUGCAAUUGCUGGGGGUGAUAAAAUCCUAGGUGAGACUAUAGGAAUGAAUCAAUAAAUGUGGAAAUCACUAGAAAUGAGGAAAAUGAGGAACUGAGAAGCCAGGAUGUCAAAUAGUUUAACUGUGAGGAUGUUGAGGUCACCCAAGGAAAAAGCUGCAAGUGUAACAGUGGCAUUCCCCCAGUUCUGAUUUCUAGGUAAGGACAGUUCUUCCAGCCUCUCAAUACCCCCAGUCUAACAGUACCACUUGGCAGCUUUUGGAUUACCAAUCUAGGAGGGUAUUAUCUUUCAUUCUAGAAUGUUUGACUAACUCCACAGUCUUAUUUAAUAUGGCAUUGGUUACCACCUCAGUACUGCAAUAGGAAACUAGAGGUCACUUUUGCCUAUUUCAUCCUGAACUAUUAAAUUAGUUGGAAAAGGAGUAAGUCUCCCAAAGGGCUCAUUUUGGUAUGAUUGAAUUUGAUAUUCAGUAGCCAUUUGUAUGCAUUUUUCUGUGAUGGUAUUUACCAAGUAUGUGAGUGUUGGUGGUGUGGGCCCCCAUCCCCAAGCACUAGUCUCUGCAAUAACCAUGGUGAUAAUCAUGGAGGUUUCCAGGAAAACAAGCUACAUCUGCAGCAACAUGUGUCCAUGGAGUUUCUAAAGCUGCAUCAGUUCCUGCACAGCAAAGAAAAGGACAUUUUAACUGAACUCCGGGAAGAGGGGAAAGCCUUGAAUGAGGAGAUGGAGCUGAAUCUGAGCCAGCUUCAGGAGAAAUGUCUCUUAGCCAAGGAUAUGUUGGUGAGCAUUCAGGCAAAGAUGGAACAAGAGAACUCCUUCGACUUUCUCAAAGACAUCACAACUCUCUUAGAUAGCUUGGAGCAAGGAAUGAGGAUGUUGGCAACCAGAGAGCUUAUUUCCAGAAAGCUGAACCUGGGCCAGUACAAAGGUCCUAUCCAGUACAUGGUAUGGAGGGAAAUGCAGGACACUCUCUGCCCAGGCCUAUCUCCACUAACUCUGGACCCUAAAACAGCUCACCCAAAUCUGGUGCUCUCCAAAAGCCAAACGAGCGUCUGGCAUGGUGACAUUAAGAAGGUAAUGCCUGAUGAUCCAGAGAGGUUUGACUCAAGUGUGGCUGUGCUGGGCUCAAGAGGCUUCACCUCUGGAAAGUGGUACUGGGAAGUAGAAGUAGCAAAGAAGACAAAAUGGACAGUUGGAGUUGUCAGAGAAUCCAUCAUUCGGAAGGGCAGCUGUCCUCUAACUCCUGAGCAAGGAUUCUGGCUUUUAAGACUAAGGAACCAAACUGAUCUAAAGGCUCUGGAUUUGCCUUCUUGCAGUCUGGCACUGACUAACAACCUCGACAAGGUGGGCAUAUACCUGGAUUAUGAAGGAGGGCAGGUGUCCUUCUACAAUGCUAAAACCAUGACUCACAUUUACACCUUCAGUAAUACUUUCAUGGAGAAACUUUAUCCCUACUUCUGCCCCUGCCUUAAUGAUGGUGGAGAGAAUAAAGAACCAUUGCACAUCUUACAUCCACAGUAAUGAGCCAUACUAUUAUACAAAUUCAGAGUGUGAUUAAAGAGGUAUUGAAAUAUUU
rnacentral:sRNA from 1 species